UCCACAUUCACAUAUGGAUGAAACACACACUAAGCUUUCUAAAAUUGUUGGUAGAUGUCAAUAACAUGCAGAAGUCAUCUUGUCAACCAACUGAAACAUGUUGAAAUGUUGUCCCCACAGUAGAAGAGGCCGGCCGCCCGGGCAGCAGAUGGGAGAGAGCUUGCCCUGUGGACCCGGGUCCCCG